rnacentral:misc_RNA from 1 species
UUGCAUUUGGGUAACUAAUUGGCUUGGUCUUUCAUCAUCGAUGCCAAUAUUUCCUUUAUUGACAAUGGAGCAAAACAGAAUAAUAUUUUGCCAUCUUCAUCCCUAAACCAUUAGAUAUCAAGGUAAGAGGGCUACUUUUUCUUUCGCCACUCUUCUUUUUCUCUCUUUUAGCUUCUUCUUCCUAAGGCUCGGCCUUGUCUCUUAUUUGCUGUUGUGUGGUCUCUCCUGCCCCUCUGGGCAGGGAAGACUUCCCUCCCUUACUCAAGAUGUUGUUGCCUUACUCAUUUCUAUUGGGGUUGUGUGGUGCAUCUGGUGUUAUUUAGAGAGGGUUUCUUUGAUUUGCUGUAUGUGUGUUAGUUUGGUUAGUAUUGAGUAUUGCAAGCAGAAUUAGGGGACUAGAAGUGAGGAUUUUUGCUAUUAUGGAGCCAAAGGUUUGGAUCAAUGGGUUGAUAUGCUUUAGUAGGCAUGGCACCUCUUUGAGACAUUUCCCAGUGUUGAUCUCAAUAACAAAUAGUUCCUUAAGGCCGCAAGAGCUAAGAUAGCUCUGUUCAUCGCCUAUCAAUGUCCAUUAGGUUCAAAUCAUAUUCUCGACCAUGGUUGUGUGCCUCGAUGCUCUUGGUCUUGGCAACUCGACUUCAUGGAAGAGUUUUCUAUCGAAAUCGUUGGAUAUGUCGACUUCGACAUUUGAUUUCUGUGUGGUUCAUCUGUCACUUCGUCUUCUCGAUAAGAGCUUUGCUGGGUUUUAGUAUGUGGAGAUGGCAAUGCUACUUCUAUUGUAAGUUGGGGCUCCUUCUCAUAUGGGUCGAGUCCCAUAGCUAGGGUUUGUUAGUUUUGGUUGGACUUACAACCACUUGCUUGUACCGGGUUAGGUUGCUUUUUGGGGCCUUUUUUACUUUAACUAUUUUGCCUAGUUAUUUUUGUGGGCUUCUUUUGUUAGCUUUAGAACUCUUGGUUUUUAGCUAGCAUUUAUUAUUGAUAUGCCCCUCCACUGUAUUGAGCCUUGAUCUUUUGUCAUGCAAUGAAUAUUUUUAUCUCUACCAAAAAGAAAAAUAGAUAUCGAGGUGGAGCAAAAAGAGAAUAAGAGUGGGAAGGGUUUUUUUGUUUUAAAAA